CCCUUAGAUGUUCUGGGCCGCACGCGCGCUACACUGAACAGUUCAACAAGUCUUAACCUUGGCCGAUAAGUCUGGGUAAUCUUUGAACGCUGUUCGUGAUUGGGAUAGACCUUUGCAAUUAUGGGUCUUCAACGAGGAAUUCCUAGUAAACGCAAGUCAUCAGCUUGCAUUGAUUACGUCCCUGCCCUUUGUACACACCGCCCGUCGCACCUACCGAUUGAAUGGUCCGGUGAAAUCUCGGGACGGCGGCUUGGUCGCUUGCGUCCGACUGCUGAAACUUGAUUAAACCAUAUCAUUUAGAGGAAGGUGAAGUCGUAACA
rnacentral:rRNA from 1 species